rnacentral:rRNA from 1 species
UACGUAGGGCGCAAGCGUUGUCCGGAAUUAUUGGGCGUAAAGAGCUCGUAGGCGGUUUGUCGCGUCUGCUGUGAAAACCCGAGGCUCAACCUCGGGCCUGCAGUGGGUACGGGCAGACUAGAGUGCGGUAGGGGAGAAUGGAAUUCCUGGUGUAGCGGUGGAAUGCGCAGAUAUCGGGAGGAACACCAGUGGCGAAGGCGGCGACCUGGACAGAUAUUGACGCUGAGGUGCGAAAGCGUGGGGAGCAAACAGG